rnacentral:rRNA from 1 species
UACGGAGGGUGCAAGCGUUAAUCGGAAUUACUGGGCGUAAAGCGUGCGCAGGCGGUUUGUUAAGUCUGUUGUGAAAUCCCCGAGCUCAACUUGGGAAUUGCAAUGGAUACUGGCAGGCUGGAGUAUGGUAGAGGAAGGUGGAAUUCCCGGUGUAGCAGUGAAAUGCGUAGAGAUCGGGAGGAACACCAGAGGCGAAGGCGGCGACCUGGACAGUGACUGACACUCAACUACGAAAGCGUGGGGAGCAAACAGG